UCUUGGUUGUAAACUAAUAUGAUUUACCAGAGUACUAUGAAUAGCAAAAUUUAAAACUCAAAGGGCUUGGCGGUGUUUUAGACCCUUCAGGGGAACCUGUCUCAUAACCGACAAUCCACGUUAGACCUAACCUUUUUUUGCAUAUCAGUCUGUAUACCGUCGUCGGCAGGUAACUUCCAAAAAAUUAGAAGUUAGCAAAAGGAAUAAUUUAAAUUUAGACGUCAGAUCAAGGUGCAGCUAAUAAAAGGGUGAGGAUGGGUUACAAUUAUUUUAAUUAUAAAAACGGAUAUAAAAAUGAAAACUUCAUUGAAGGAGGACUUGAAAGUAAAAUAUGAUAUAGGAAUUAUUUGAAUAUGGCUCUGAAACGUGC
rnacentral:rRNA from 1 species